AAGCUACAAAGCAGAAAUGGUGACUGUUUUAUCAGUAAAGAUGCCAAAGCCUACAUGGAUCAAAAAGUUGCCCAGGGUCAGAGCAGGUAACUCAGACCUGGAAUCCUAAUCCAGAUCUUUCUGUCCUGAAAGCGCUCUUCCGUCCUUGUCAUUGGCCAGAAAAUGGGACAUUAUGAGACUCUGGAUUCUGCUGGAGGAAGACACUGCCCCUGUACGCCCAGACUCCACGCCUCGAUCUAUGGAAAACACAAACAGGCAGGUUAGCAGCAGAAAGAUGUCCAUAUUAAGUGAUUUUCUUAAUCCUACAUGCAUGGGGGCAUCAUGGGACAAAGUGCAGAUACCCCAAAAGGCAGUGAGAGCUGAGAGCUCACAUAGCAUCCUCGUGGGGGAUGGGGACGGCUGGGGGCAUUUCAGGGGGACGUGAUUGGGGAGAUGGCUGGGUCCUUAGAGGAACGGAGGGGAGGGUGACAGUUUGUGACAGUGUGUGGGUGUGCGGUUGACUUCUCAGUUCUUCCCCUGCGACGGGCGUGCAUCUUCCCGGUUAGCGAAGCUCCCGGUGACACUGGAGGAUCUGCCUUCGGGCAGAGAGCAAAGUUCGGACACAGCGUCUCUCCCUCUGGCCCGUGUUUCAUAGGCUCCUCACCGAGGAGCACGAUGGUGGGUGCUUUGGUAGAGGGUGACAGCCUCGUAAGCACCCACCAAGCGGGGCACCACUUUGCAUGUCCUCAGCGACGACUGGCCCUGCGCGACGCCGAGUCCGCUGCUGAUUUGCUCCUGACCUUCCAGCCUCGACAGCUGUGGGAAGUCACCAUCUAUUGUUUGAGCCCCCGGUCCACGGUCCACGGGGCAGGGAGCCCCCUGGAGUUCACAGCUGCCCGGUGUCCCAGGAGCCAAGGAGCAGCCCCCCCCCCACCCCGGGGACAGGGGGAGAGCCCGGCCGUGGCCAGCACCGGGUUUGCUUCCAGGGCUCAGGCCGGGGACCGGUGUUGGGGCAUCUCCCAGGUGAUAUGGGACCGCAGGGCCAACCGCGUGUCCUCGUGGUGGCCGUGUGCAUUCGGUGUGACGAAGCCCCAGCUUGUUUGGCCGCCCAGAUCCAAGCCACCUUCUCCGUGUCACAAGGAGGCCAGCUCCUCAGGGCGGGACAUGCAGAAGCACUGAGUCUGCCUGUGAAGCCAGGCCUGCUGCUCCCGGGGCCGACACCCAGACAGGGACCCAACGUCACCCCCGCCGGCACCCCUCCCUCAGUGGGAACUUCCAUCCACCUGCCGAGAAACUUCCUUCUGAGCCCCCAUUAACGACAGCACUUAUUUUAUACGAGAAUCCAUUUCAUGCGAAUUAGGGGACUGUUUCCCCAGUGAUACGACCGCAGGCUCCGCAAGGGACAGACACGUCUUAUGGACACGAGGUCAGAAAGUCGGCCUCCGCGCCUCGCAGCAAUUGACUAGCCACUCUGAAUUAUUUCGUAAUAGAAUUACUGCCUCUGCUGGCCCAUCUUUUAAAAACGCACCGUGAAGGAGGGGCUAACUGGAUUUCCCCUGUACUCUUUAUUUUAGUUUUUUUUAAUAAAUUUAUUUUUUAUUGGUGUUCA
rnacentral:lncRNA from 12 species